AAUCACCCAAUGAAAGAAAAAGUAAGUAAUUCUAGCGUGUGAAUAGAGAGGGUUUCCUUAGGCUGAAAGAAAUCCCCGUAGACUUAACUGAAAGACAUUCUGGAGGGUUAGCAGUGAAAAGCCGCUACGUUACGAGCGUUAAUCGUUGAGGAAAACUUAGGUUUUCAAACAAAGGUGGUACCACGUAUAAUGAACAGUCAUUCGUCCUUAUU
rnacentral:ncRNA from 1 species